UCCAGACUCCUACGGGAGGCAGCAGUGAGGAAUAUUGGUCAAUGGGCGGGAGCCUGAACCAGCCAAGUCGCGUGAGGGAAGACGGUCCUACGGAUUGUAAACCUCUUUUGCCGGGGAGCAACGGGGUCCUUGCGAGGGUCCGAUGAGAGUACCCGGAGAAAAAGCAUCGGCUAACUCCGUGCCAGCAGCCGCGGUAAUACGGAGGAUUCAAGCGUUAUCCGGAUUUAUUGGGUUUAAAGGGUGCGUAGGCGGUCGGAUAAGUUAGAGGUGAAAUCCCGAGGCUCAACUUCGGAAUUGCCUCUGAUACUGUUCGGCUAGAGAGUAGUUGCGGUAGGCGGAAUGUAUGGUGUAGCGGUGAAAUGCUUAGAGAUCAUACAGAACACCGAUUGCGAAGGCAGCAUACCGGCGCUCAACUGACGCUCAUGCACGAAAGCGUGGGUAUCGAACAGGAUUAGAUACCCCUGUAC
rnacentral:rRNA from 1 species